UGGAGGACUGAGAAGGUUGUGCAGCUUGUUGUGCUGCUUUAACUGGUUAAAACCUCCAAUAGUAACAAACAAACCACCAAAUUUA
rnacentral:snoRNA from 1 species